GUGAAGUCGUAACAAGGUAACCGUAGGGGAACCUGCGGUUGGAUCACCUCCUUACCUUAAAGAACCUGCCUUUGUAGUGCUCACACAGAUUGUCUGAUGAAACGUAAAGAAGCAAGGCGUCUUGCGAUUGAGACUUCA
rnacentral:tRNA from 1 species